rnacentral:lncRNA from 1 species
AUGGUGGUGUUCAAAAUAACGGUGUGCGUGUUUCUAUUAGGCAUUGUUCGGCUGACACCAGCCCUCCCUCACAUCAGCUGCAGACAGAGCAUCACUUACCUGGUCUUACAGCACAUUGGGGCAACCCUAUAUCCUGACUCUAGCCUCGGUGCUCCUUCAUAUGGUGUUAGAGGACUUCCCUUCAUACUUUCCUUUGCACCCUUUGCAGGGCCCUCACCAGUGAGGAGCAUGCCCCACCCUUUCUCUCCUUUCCCCCAAGAAACUAUUCCCCAUCACCCCCGCUAUACAGACUCCUUCCAUAGGACCAUCAGAUUCAGAAAUCCCCCUAUGACAAGCAGCUUUCAUCUCAUAUUCAAGAACACCAUUUCCCCUCCUUUGGGGAUAUAUGUCAUGCUUUCUCCAAAACCCUCUCAGCACACUCUCCUCUGUGCCAGUGGCAGCUGCAAACUGUUCCUUGGCAAGCAUCCGUUCAGGGAGGAGGAUGCCAACUUCCCUUUCUUACAGUUUGUGAGUGAUUUCCUUGGAUCUAUGAGGAUGGUUGGAGCAUUUCCAGUUUAUCCAUCACCACGGGGAGGAGAGAGAAAAAGCCCUCUCACCAUAAACACUCUGCCAUGCCUGGGACUCUCUCAGGGACUGCUCUCCCCUUCCAGGGUUCUCCUCACACAGGCCUGGGGGUGGAGUGAAGGGUGUGGCAACAGACCUUCAUUUACAGCUUUGGAUUCUUACUGCCAAUUCCAGGACAUCAGGAAAAUUCUGACUCAACAUCCCCACUACUACUCUCAAUCUCUGCAUGACAUCACCAACCGGUACCCUCAGCUCUCCUUGGCUUACACUUGCCUUAGUCCAUUGACUUCAUUCACUCUAUCAUUUAACACUGAGCUUCCACAGAGUGCAAGCCACCUUGCACCCUGUGGAAAUGGUGAAAUGGUGAUGAGGAGGGCGGAGGUAAGAAGCAAACAAGUACCUGAAAUAGAAGUGCUGGUUUGGAGGCAGGAAAGUUAA